GGGUGGGGGAAGCAGUGCAGCGUCUUUGUGCAUGCGCAUGAGAGAGCACAAGUGGAGGGGCAGAUGGUUGCACAUGUGCGUGCAGGAAAGCAGAGUCUCAGCAGAGUCCCUGGCAGGACGCAAGGAGUGGGACCAGACCUGCUUUUCACGAGGAUAACAGGGAGCAGAGCAAAUGCUGUGUGAAUGCUGAUGAAAACUCCUUACAGAAAACUCUAUGGAGCGGAGGAACCUAGAGAUGAUGUGGAGCGGCCAGCAGGAGCUCUGCCUCUUUAGCUUCCUAGGUGAGAAGAGUCAGGGUAACAGAUCAAGCUGCACUGAAGAAAAAGGAAGACAGGAGCCUGGACACUAAGAAAGAGGUACCAUGGUCCCAGUGCAACAAGUAAGUAUGUGAAAGAACAUGCAAACGUAAAGGAGGACCCAGCUUACCCUCCCUCGAAGACAAUAUGGAUCAGAUAAAUAACCAGGAAAACAAUCUCCUUCACAGUAACCUCUUCCCUGCUCUCGGUUGACAAAAACAGCAGCAGCAGCAGCAGCAGCAGCAGCAGCAGCAGCAGCAGCAGCAGCAGCAGCAGCACCACCACCACCACCA